rnacentral:rRNA from 1 species
UACGGAGGGUGCAAGCGUUAUCCGGAUUCACUGGGUUUAAAGGGUGCGUAGGCGGUUUUAUAAGUCAGUGGUGAAAUACGGCAGCUCAACUGUCGAGGUGCCAUUGAUACUGUAGAACUUGAGUACAGACGAGGUAGGCGGAAUUGACGGUGUAGCGGUGAAAUGCUUAGAUAUCGUCAAGAACACCGAUAGCGAAGGCAGCUUACUAGGCUGUAACUGACGCUGAGGCACGAAAGUGUGGGGAUCAAACAGG